UCCUACGGGAGGCAGCAGUGGGGAAUAUUGGACAAUGGGCGAAAGCCUGAUCCAGCAAUGCCGCGUGUGUGAAGAAGGCCUGCGGGUUGUAAAGCACUUUCAGUUGGGAAGAUGAUGACGUUACCAACAGAAGAAGCACCGGCUAAAUCCGUGCCAGCAGCCGCGGUAAU
rnacentral:rRNA from 1 species